UCGCACUGGUGGAUGUGGUGCAG
rnacentral:siRNA from 1 species